GGCUGGGUAGCUCAAUGGCAGAGCCAGAAGCUUCCAAACCUCUAUCAUGCCGGUUCGAGUCCGGCCCCGGCCU
rnacentral:tRNA from 2 species